rnacentral:rRNA from 1 species
CAGUAGCCGCGGGAAUACGAGGGGAGCUAGCGUUAUUCGGAAUUACUGGGCGUAAAGCGCACGUAGGCGGCUUUGUAAGUUAGAGGUGAAAGCCCAGAGCUCAACUCUGGAAUUGCCUUUAAGACUGCAUCGCUUGAAUCCAGGAGAGGUGAGUGGAAUUCCGAGUGUAGAGGUGAAAUUCGUAGAUAUUCGGAAGAACACCAGUGGCGAAGGCGGCUCACUGGACUGGUAUUGACGCUGAGGUGCGAAAGCGUGGGGAGCAAACAGGAUUAGAUACCCCAGUAGUCCCUGUCUCUUAUAU